rnacentral:tRNA from 1 species
GCCGAGAUGUUGGAACUGGCAGACAAUAUGGACUUAAAAUCCAUUGGGCCAAAAGCCCGUGUGGGUUCGAAUCCCACUCUCGGCACCA